rnacentral:rRNA from 1 species
UACGGAGGGUGCAAGCGUUAUCCGGAUUCACUGGGUUUAAAGGGUGCGUAGGCGGGCUUGUAAGUCAGUGGUGAAAGCCCGGGGCUUAACUCCGGAACUGCCGUUGAUACUGCAAGCCUUGAGUGCAGUUGAGGUGGGCGGAAUACAUCAUGUAGUGGUGAAAUACUUAGAUAUGAUGUAGAACACCGAUUGCGAAGGCAGCUCACUAAGUUGCAACUGACGCUGAGGCACGAAAGCGUGGGGAUCAAACAGG